rnacentral:rRNA from 1 species
GACGAACGCUGGCGGCGUGCUUAACACAUGCAAGUCGAACGGAAAGGCCCUGCUUUUGUGGGGUGCUCGAGUGGCGAACGGGUGAGUAACACGUGAGUAACCUGCCCUUGACUUUGGGAUAACUUCAGGAAACUGGGGCUAAUACCGGAUAGGAGCUCCUGCUGCAUGGUGGGGGUUGGAAAGUUUCGGCGGUUGGGGAUGGACUCGCGGCUUAUCAUCUUGUUGGUGGGGUAGUGGCUUACCAAGGCUUUGACGGGUAGCCGGCCUGAGAGGGUGACCGGCCACAUUGGGACUGAGCUACGGCCCAGACUCCUACGGGAGGCAGCAGUGGGGAAUAUUGCACAAUGGGCGGAAGCCUGAUGCAGCAACGCCGCGUGCGGGAUGACGGCCUUCGGGUUGUAAACCGCUUUCGCCUGUGACGAAGCGUGAGUGACGGUAAUGGGUAAAGAAGCACCGGCUAACUACGUG